rnacentral:rRNA from 1 species
GACGAACGCUGGCGGCGUGCUUAACACAUGCAAGUCGAACGGAAAGGCCCUGCUUUUGUGGGGUGCUCGAGUGGCGAACGGGUGAGUAACACGUGAGUAACCUGCCCUUGACUUUGGGAUAACUUCAGGAAACUGGGGCUAAUACCGGAUAGGAGCUCCUGCUGCAUGGUGGGGGUUGGAAAGUUUCGGCGGUUGGGGAUGGACUCGCGGCUUAUCAGCUUGUGGGUGGGGUAGUGGCUUACCAAGGCUUUGACGGGUAGCCGGCCUGAGAGGGUGACCGGCCACAUUGGGACUGAGAUACGGCCCAGACUCCAACGGGAGGCAGCAGUGGGGAAUAUUGCACAAUGGGCGGAAGCCUGAUGCAGCAACGCCGCGUGCGGGAUGACGGCCUUCGGGUUGUAAACCGCUUUCGCCUGUGACGAAGCGUGAGUGACGGUAAUGGGUAAAGAAGCACCGGCUAACUACGUG